CCCUUGGAUGUUCUGGGCCGCACGCGCGCUACACUGUUCGACGCAGCGAGUCUUAACCUUGACCGAAAGGUUUGGGUAAUCUUCAGCAAAGUCGAACGUGAUGGGGAUCGAUCAUUGCAAUUAUUGAUCGUGAACGAGGAAUUCCUAGUAAGUGCAAGUCAUCAGCUUGCGCUGAUUACGUCCCUGCCCUUUGUACACACCGCCCGUCGCUACUACCGAUUGAAUGGUUUAGUGAGAUCUCUGGAUUGACGCUGGCUAGGGGGCGACCCUUGGCCAGACUGUUGAGAAACUGCUCAAACUUGAUCAUUUAGAGGAAGUAAAAGUCGUAACA
rnacentral:rRNA from 1 species